UUUCCGUAGGUGAACCUGCGGAAGGAUCAUUAUUGGAUUUUGAAACUUCAGGCUGCUGCUGGCUCUCCUCGGAGGGCAUGUGCACGCUUGUUGUCCAUUAUUUCUCCCACUGUGCACAAAUUGUAGACCUUUCAGUAGGCCUAUGUUGUUUUUCACAAUCUCUGAAUGUAAUAGAAUGGUUUUGAAUCUUGGGAAAUACAAUACAACUUUCAGCAACGGAUCUCUUGGCUCUCGCAUCGAUGAAGAACCAGC
rnacentral:misc_RNA from 1 species